CCUUCGGGCUUAGUGGCGCACGGGUGCGUAACGCGUGGGAAUCUGCCCUUCGGUUCGGAACAACAGUUAGAAAUGACUGCUAAUACCGGAUAAUGACGUAAGUCCAAAGAUUUAUCGCCGAAGGAUGAGCCCGCGUAGGAUUAGCUAGUUGGUAAGGUAAAAGCUUACCAAGGCGACGAUCCUUAGCUGGUCUGAGAGGAUGAUCAGCCACAUUGGGACUGAGACACGGCCCAA
rnacentral:rRNA from 1 species